GAGUUUGAUCAUGGCUCAGAACGAACGCUGGCGGCGCGCCUAAUACAUGCAAGUCGAGCGAGAAGGUGUAGCAAUACACUUGUAAAGCGGCGAACGGGUGAGGAAUGCAUGGGUAACCUACCCUCGAGUGGGGAAUAACUAGCCGAAAGGUUAGCUAAUACCGCAUACGUUUCCGGAACUUCGGUUUCGGAAAGAAAGCAAUACCGUGGGUAUUGCGCUCCUGGAUGGGCUCAUGUCCUAUCAGCUUGUUGGUGAGGUAACGGCUCACCAAGGCUUCGACGGGUAGCUGGUCUGAGAGGACGAUCAGCCACACUGGCACUGCGACACGGGCCAGACUCCUACGGGAGGCAGCAGUAAGGAAUAUUGCGCAAUGGACGAAAGUCUGACGCAGCGACGCCGCGUGGGGGAUGAAGGUCUUCGGAUUGUAAACCCCUUUCGGAGGGAAGAUGGAGUGGGUAACCACUUGGACGGUACCUCCAGAAGCAGCCACGGCUAACUUCGUG
rnacentral:rRNA from 1 species